rnacentral:rRNA from 1 species
UUAAAUUGAAGAGUUUGAUCAUGGCUCAGAUUGAACGCUGGCGGCAGGCCUAACACAUGCAAGUCGAACGGUAACAGGAAGCAGCUUGCUGCUUCGCUGACGAGUGGCGGACGGGUGAGUAAUGUCUGGGAAACUGCCUGAUGGAGGGGGAUAACUACUGGAAACGGUGGCUAAUACCGCAUAACGUCGCAAGACCAAAGAGGGGGACCUUCGGGCCUCUUGCCAUCAGAUGUGCCCAGAUGGGAUUAGCUAGUUGGUGAGGUAACGGCUCACCAAGGCGACGAUCCCUAGCUGGUCUGAGAGGAUGACCAGCCACACUGGAACUGAGACACGGUCCAGACUCCUACGGGAGGCAGCAGUGGGGAAUAUUGCACAAUGGGCGCAAGCCUGAUGCAGCCAUGCCGCGUGUAUGAAGAAGGCCUUCGGGUUGUAAAGUACUUUCAGCGGGGAGGAAGGUGUUGUGGUUAAUAACCACAGCAAUUGACGUUACCCGCAGAAGAAGCACCGGCUAACUCCGUGCCAGCAGCCGCGGUAAUACGGAGGGUGCAAGCGUUAAUCGGAAUUACUGGGCGUAAAGCGCACGCAGGCGGUCUGUCAAGUCGGAUGUGAAAUCCCCGGGCUCAACCUGGGAACUGCAUUCGAAACUGGCAGGCUUGAGUCUUGUAGAGGGGGGUAGAAUUCCAGGUGUAGCGGUGAAAUGCGUAGAGAUCUGGAGGAAUACCGGUGGCGAAGGCGGCCCCCUGGACAAAGACUGACGCUCAGGUGCGAAAGCGUGGGGAGCAAACAGGAUUAGAUACCCUGGUAGUCCACGCCGUAAACGAUGUCUACUUGGAGGUUGUGCCCUUGAGGCGUGGCUUCCGGAGCUAACGCGUUAAGUAGACCGCCUGGGGAGUACGGCCGCAAGGUUAAAACUCAAAUGAAUUGACGGGGGCCCGCACAAGCGGUGGAGCAUGUGGUUUAAUUCGAUGCAACGCGAAGAACCUUACCUGGUCUUGACAUCCACAGAACUUUCCAGAGAUGGACUGGUGCCUUCGGGAACUGUGAGACAGGUGCUGCAUGGCUGUCGUCAGCUCGUGUUGUGAAAUGUUGGGUUAAGUCCCGCAACGAGCGCAACCCUUAUCCUUUGUUGCCAGCGGUUAGGCCGGGAACUCAAAGGAGACUGCCAGUGAUAAACUGGAGGAAGGUGGGGAUGACGUCAAGUCAUCAUGGCCCUUACGACCAGGGCUACACACGUGCUACAAUGGCGCAUACAAAGAGAAGCGACCUCGCGAGAGCAAGCGGACCUCAUAAAGUGCGUCGUAGUCCGGAUUGGAGUCUGCAACUCGACUCCAUGAAGUCGGAAUCGCUAGUAAUCGUGGAUCAGAAUGCCACGGUGAAUACGUUCCCGGGCCUUGUACACACCGCCCGUCACACCAUGGGAGUGGGUUGCAAAAGAAGUAGGUAGCUUAACCUUCGGGAGGGCGCUUACCACUUUGUGAUUCAUGACUGGGGUGAAGUCGUAACAAGGUAACCGUAGGGGAACCUGCGGUUGGAUCACCUCCUUACCUUAAAGAAGC